CGUGUGGCAGCGGCAGCCGUUCCGCCUGCGCUACGUGCCGGGCCGCGGCGAGAUCCCGGCGCACUUGGGCGGCACCACGGUGUUCGGGGAUAACGUGGAGGAUGAGUGGUUCAUUGUGUACCUGCUCCGGGAGAUCACCAGGGAGUUCCCGGGGCUGGCAGCCAGUAUUGAUGACAACGAUGGAGAGUUUCUCUUGAUAGAAGCAGCUGAUUUUCUGCCCAAGUGGCUGAAUCCUGAGAACAGUGAAAACAGGGUGUUCUUUUACAAAGGAGAGCUGCACAUCAUUCCUCCGGGGGAGCCUGGGGAGCAGGGCUGGGCCCUCUCUGCUCCCUGUCCCACGGUGCCCCAGGCGCUGGCUCUGUUAUCCACGCGCCCCGAGGAGCUCCUGGCUGCAGAGCCCAUCAGAGCCGCGCUGAAUAAACGCAUCCAUGGGUACGUGGGGCUGCAUUUGGGUCCUCUGCAGCUCUGGGCUUUGGUUCUGGGCUCCCUGGGCUUUAAACGUUUC